CUUCAAUAAGUUUUCAUGAAAAGAUCUGAAAAUAUCUUUCACGAGGUUGCUAAAAAACAGUGCUGAUAUUAAAAGUGAAGUUAAACUUAUAAUUUGCUUUAUCUGCAGCAAAUGAUACAGGCUUGUUUGGAAAUUACAGGACCUCAUGGGGCAAUGGAAAAUUUUGCUACAAAAUGAAGGAAAUACUUGAACAUGUCUUAAACCGGGGAACUUUGAAGAAAUGCAAAAAGUCAUCUCAACUCAUCUUUGAAUAAAAUUUACUAAAACGAUGUAUAUGCCCGUUAGAGUGUGUGGAAUUCAAUUAACAUAGCUGGAUUUCAAUUUCACUGGCAGUAUCAGAAAGUUCACCUGUAACCAGCUCCCUCUGGGGAAGAUUGCCUUCCUGUGUAAUCUGAUUUCCAUAGUUACAUGGAAUGAGAACCUGGCCCCUUGAAAACAAGGUAUUGAUCUGGUUCAAAUCUCCAGGGCCAGGUAUAAGGCAGAAAGAUUGGAAAGAAUACUGGGUAAGUGAGUUCCACUCUAUCCCAACCUCCCUUUGAUCCUAAGAGCAAUGAAAACAAAACAAAACAAAAC
rnacentral:lncRNA from 1 species